rnacentral:rRNA from 1 species
GACGUAGGGCGCGAGCGUUGUCCGGAUUUAUUGGGCGUAAAGAGCUCGUAGGCGGUUGGGUAAGUCGGGUGUGAAAACUCCAGCUCAACUUGGAGACGCCACCCGAUACUGCUCUGACUUGAGUUCGGUAGGGGAGUGGGGAAUUCCUGGUGUAGCGGUGAAAUGCGCAGAUAUCAGGAGGAACACCGAUGGCGAAGGCGGCUCUCUGGGACGGUACUGACGCUGAGACGCGAAAGCGUGGGGAGCGAACAGG